AUACGAAGGGUGCAAGCGUUAAUCGGAAUUACUGGGCGUAAAGCGCGCGUAGGUGGUUUUGUAAGUUGGAGGUGAAAGCCCCGGGCUCAACCUGGGAAUUGCCUCCAAAACUGCAUGACUAGAGUACGGUAGAGGGUAGUGGAAUUUCCUGUGUAGCGGUGAAAUGCGUAGAUAUAGGAAGGAACACCAGUGGCGAAGGCGACUACCUGGACUGAUACUGACACUGAGGUGCGAAAGCGGGGGGAGCAAACAGGAUUAGAGACCCUGGUAGUCCACGCCGUAAACGAUGUCAACUAGCCGUUGGGAUCCUUGAGAUCUUAGUGGCGCAGCUAACGCAUUAAGUUGACCGCCUGGGGAGUACGGCCGCAAGGUUAAAACUCAAAUGAAUUGACUGGG
rnacentral:rRNA from 1 species